GACGAACGCUGGCGGCGUGCUUAACACAUGCAAGUCGAGCGGUAAGGCCCUUUCGGGGGUACACGAGCGGCGAACGGGUGAGUAACACGUGAGCAAUCUGCCCUUCACUUUGGGAUAACUCCGGGAAACCGGUGCUAAUACCGAAUAUGACCACUGAAGGCAUCUUCUGGUGGUGGAAAGUUCCGGCGGUGGAGGAUGAGCUCGCGGCCUAUCAGCUUGUUGGUGGGGUGAUGGCCUACCAAGGCGACGACGGGUAGCCGGCCUGAGAGGGUGACCGGCCACACUGGGACUGAGACACGGCCCAGACUCCUACGGGAGGCAGCAGUGGGGAAUAUUGGACAAUGGGCGGAAGCCUGAUCCAGCAACGCCGCGUGAGGGAUGACGGCCUUCGGGUUGUAAACCUCUUUCAGUGGGGACGAAGCGCGAGUGACGGUACCUACAGAAGAAGCACCGGCCAACUACGUGCCAGCCGCCGCCGUAACAC
rnacentral:rRNA from 1 species